UGUAAAGCUUACAGCAGGAUAACCCAUUGUGAUGAUUCCGUUUCCUAUGUUUUCAUGUUCAGUGUUCUUUUAUUUGGUUUCUGCAAACUUUUUAUCCCAGAUUGUAGACUUAAGUUUCUCUCAGCAUCUAGUUGAUCCUCUUUGUAUACUUUUAAUUCUGGAAUUAGUCAAAUCUUAGUGUACAAGGAUCACCUCUAUUCUUCUUAAUAUGACUUAUAUCAAAUAUGAUAUGACUAUUCUAGGUGAAGAUGAUUCAUAAUUUUGAUUAGGAAUAAUAGUGGACAUUUUGUUGAGAAGCUGAAUGCCGAUGGUGAGGAACUGGAUCGUGUGGUGACCGGAAAUUUUAGAAACUGAGACCUCCGGUUGUGGAUCUGCCAUUGCUUCUUCCUCAGUCGGUAUUCUCAGGAGAGUUUCAAGUCUUCAUUAAGGUCGCACAAAUCAGCACAAAACAGCGCAUCUGAAGGCAAAAUUAUCCUCAUCUGAGACACAAAAUUCAGGCUCUCUAAGUGAAGAUUGCAAGGGAGGUGUUGGAUGCAGCUGCUAGAAUUAUUCAGCCAGGGGUGACGACUGAUGAGAUUGAUAGAGUUGUUCACGAGGCAACUACUGCUGGAGGUCCCAAUUUUUUAUUUGUUGAGUUUCCUUUUGAAACACUUCAAGUCUUACCAAUUUUUUAUUUAUUGAGUUUUAGUAAGUUUAUCAAUAAAUGAAGCUCAUAUACUU